rnacentral:rRNA from 1 species
GUGAGACAGGUGCUGCAUGGCUGUCGUCAGCUCGUGUUGUGAAAUGUUGGGUUAAGUCCCGCAACGAGCGCAACCCUUAUCCUUUGUUGCCAGCGAUUAGGUCGGGAACUCAAAGGAGACUGCCAGUGAUAAACUGGAGGAAGGUGGGGAUGACGUCAAGUCAUCAUGGCCCUUACGACCAGGGCUACACACGUGCUACAAUGGCGCAUACAAAGAGAAGCGACCGCGC